rnacentral:rRNA from 1 species
AUUGAACGCUGGCGGCAGGCCUAACACAUGCAAGUCGAACGAGUGGCGGACGGGUGAGUAAUGUCUGGGAAACUGCCUGAUUGAGGGGGAUAACUACUGGAACCGGUAGCUAAUCCCGCAUACCAUCGGAUGUGCCCAGAUGGGAUUUGCUAGUAGGUGGGGUAAAGGCUCACCUAGGCGACGAUCCCUAGCUGGUCUGAAAGGAUGAACGGCCACACUGGAACGGAGACACGGUCCAGACUCCUACGGGAGGGAGCAGUGGGGAAUAUUGCACAAGGGGAGCAAGCGAAAUGGAACCAUGCCGCGUGUAUGAAGAAGGCCUUCGGGUUGUAAAGUACUUUCAGCGAGGAGGCGUUACCGGCAGAAGAAGCACCGGCUAACUCCGUGCCAGCAGACGCGGUAAUUC